rnacentral:rRNA from 1 species
CUCAGAACGAACGCUGGCGGCAUGGAUUAGGCAUGCAAGUUGAACGAACUCCUUCGGGAGUGAGUAGCGGAAGGGUGAGGAACGCGUGAGUAAUCUGCCCCCCAGUUGGGAAUAACAGUUGGAAACGACUGCUAAUACCGAAUGUGGCUUAAGCUUCGCCUGGAGCUUUGGCUAAAGAUUUAUCGCUGGGGGAUGAGCUCGCGUCCCAUUAGGUAGUUGGUGAGGUAACGGCUCACCAAGCCGACGAUGGGUAGCUGGUCUGAGAGGAUGGUCAGCCACACUGGGACUGAGACACUGCCCAGACUCCUACGGGAGGCUGCAGUCGAGAAUCUUGGGCAAUGCGCGAAAGCGUGACCCAGCAAUGCCGCGUGUAUGAUGAAGGCCCUCGGGUCGUAAAGUACUGUCUCCCGUGACGAAAUUUGACGGUAGCGGGGAAGGAAGCCACGGCUAACUACGUGCCAGCCGCGGC